rnacentral:misc_RNA from 1 species
UAAUCUCACUACCGUCGACUUUGGUCUUUCGGUAUGUGGACUUGGAUGCUGCCGUUGAUGUCGACGGCUCGUCUGAAAUGCCUGAGUGUACCCCGCUUUGCGGCGUAUUCGGUGUGAUACAUCUUCACCGGAGUUGAUCCUCGUGGUCGCGUCUGUAAUGGUGUGGCUCUAUGCUUCCAACCGUCCAUCCAGGUGGACAAUCUCUGACAAU